rnacentral:rRNA from 1 species
GACGAACGCUGGCGGCGUGCUUAACACAUGCAAGUUGAACGGGACGGAUAUUGAAGCGACUUUUCGGAGUGGUGGAUAUAUUUGUUUAGUAGCGGACGGGUGAGUAAUGCAUGAGAACCUGCCCUUCAGAGGGGGACAACAGUUGGAAACGGCUGCUAAUACCCCAUAUGCCGAGAGGUGAAAGGAGCGAUCCGCUGAAGGAGUGGCUCAUGUCCUAUCAGCUAGUUGGUGAGGUAAGUGCUCACCGAGGCGAUGACGGGUAGCCGGCCUGAGAGGGCGACCGGCCACACUGGAACUGAGAUACGGUCCAGACUCCUACGGGAGGCAGCAGUGGGGAAUAUUGGGCAAUGGGCGGAAGCCUGACCCAGCGACGCCGCGUGAGGGAAGAAGGCCUUUGGGUCGUAAACCUCUGUUGUAUGGGAAGAAGGAAGUGACGGUACCAUACGAGGAAGUCCCGGCUAACUACGUGCCAGCAGCCGCGGUAAUACGUAGGGGACGAGCGUUGUCCGGAAUUACUGGGCGUAAAGGGCGCGCAGCGGAUAUUUAAGUCAGCUGUUAAAGUCAUGGGCUCAACUCAUGGAUGCNGGUGAACCUGGGUAU